GACAAAGGUGAAAAAAGAUUCUUCUGAUUCUCAUUGCAAUUCUUGGAACAUUCAUUUUAUUGUACUAAGACUAGCAACAUUAUCGGUAUAUUAUUAACAUUAUAUUCUUGCAUAGAGUUAAUGAGCUUGUUUCAGUGCUUCUGUCGGCUAUUGUAUAAAUGGUUGCUAUCUUUGUAUUUGUUGUUGUUUUGUGAACUCUGGAUGAAAUAAUCCUACCAAAAGAAACUUGGAUGUGAAUAAUGCGGACCACG
rnacentral:lncRNA from 1 species